rnacentral:RNase_P_RNA from 1 species
GAAGUUGACCAAACAGUCGCUGUUUGAUUUUUAAAGAUCAAAAAGAGGAAAGUCCGGGCUCCAUAGAGCAAGGUGCCAGAUAACAUCUGGAAAGCGUAAGCUUAUGACUAGUGCAACAGAAAAUAAACCACCUAUUUUUUAUUAAAAAAUAUGGCCAGGGUGAAAAGGUGUGGUAAGAGCACACCGCAUAAUUGGUAACAAUUCAUGGCAUGGUAAACUCCACCUGGAGCAAAGCCAAAUAUAGGGUAAAAAUUUUUUAUUUCGUAUUGCUCGUACUUUAUAAACCUGGGUAGGCUGCUUGAAUUAGUAAGUGAUUACUAAUCUAGAUGAAUGACUGUUAAAACAGAACCCGGCUUACAGGUCAACUUCAUUA